UUCAACUGCCAAAAUCUAAUUCAAUUAAAAUUACAAACCAUAACUAAUACAUAACUUUAGAAAUGUAAAUUGUUCAGAACAUCACUAAACUGGAUUAUAUAUAUUACAUGAAUUGCAUACAAUUUUAAAACCAUACGGUUUAGCAUAUAUUAGUUCUGAAUAAACAAAAUUCGAAAUUUAUACUAAUUUAGUAUUUUCAAACAGAAAAUCUUUCUUGCGAUUUAGUUGGACAUAUCAUUAAAACAAGAUAUCAACUGAAUCGGAAAUAUUCCUAAAAUCAUUGACUAUCUUACUAACAUUAACAUAACAAAUACCUAAAUUAAAGCUAUCACAUUAAUAACAAAAAUAUAUAGACUUGCUAAUCACAGUUUACUAGGAUAGACACAUUGCAACACUUUUAGUAUAUUCCUAACUUUAAAAUACUUAUCAUUACGUGAUACAAAAUUGUACCGUAAGGAUCUUU
rnacentral:lncRNA from 1 species